GGGGUUGUGGCUCAGUGGUAGAGCACUCACCUAGCAAGUGCAAGGCCCUGGGUUCGAUCCACAGCACCA
rnacentral:tRNA from 1 species